rnacentral:tRNA from 1 species
GAGAUAAUAUAAAAUUAAGCUUCUAACUUAAUAAAAAGCAUUCAUAUUGUUUAUAUCUCU